rnacentral:rRNA from 1 species
AACGAACGCUGGCGGCAGGCUUAACACAUGCAAGUCGAGCGCCCCGCAAGGGGAGCGGCAGACGGGUGAGUAACGCGUGGGAAUCUACCCAGCUCUACGGAAUAACGCAGGGAAACUUGUGCUAAUACCGUAUACGUCCUCCGGGAGAAAGAUUUAUCGGAGCUGGAUGAGCCCGCGUUGGAUUAGCUAGUUGGUGGGGUAAUGGCCCACGAAGGCGACGAUCCAUAGCUGGUCUGAGAGGAUGAUCAGCCACAUUGGGACUGGAGACACGGCCCAAACUCCUACGGGAGGCAGCAGUGGGGAAUAUUGGACAAUGGGCGAAAGCCUGAUCCAGCCAUGCCGCGUGAGUGAUGAAGGCCCUAGGGUUGUAAAGCUCUUUCACCGGUGAAGAUAAUGACGGUAACCGGAGAAGAAGCCCCGGCUAACUUCGUGCCAGCAGCCGCGGUAA